rnacentral:rRNA from 1 species
UACGUAGGUGACCAGCGUUGUCCGGAUUUACUGGGCGUAAGAGCGCGCAGGCGGUCGUUCAAGUCGAGUGUGAAAGCCCCCCGGCUCAACUGGGGAGGGUCAUUCGAUACUGAUCGACUGGAAGGCAGGAGAGGGAAGCGGAAUUCCCGGUGUAGUGGUGAAAUGCGUAGAUAUCGGGAGGAACACCCAUGGCGAAGGCAGCUCUCUGGUCGACCUCUGACGCUGAGACGCGAAAGCGUGGGGAGCGAACGGG